rnacentral:lncRNA from 1 species
GGUAGAUAGAGAGAUAGAUAGAUGAUAGAUAGUGUCAACGACAAUAUGGAAAACAUGGAACCCUCCCUCAUAUACUGUUUUUGUGAAUGUAAGUGACAGAGCUCCUUUGGGGGGAAAAAAACCCUUGUAGUCCCUCAGAUGAUUAAAUGAGUUAUCAGCUGAUCAAGCAGUUCCACUGCUUGGUAACACCAAGGAGACAUGGGAACAUGUCUACACAAAAACUUGUACACAGCCAGGGGGCCACAGAUUAACACUGUCCUGAACGCCAUUCCUCUAUCACACAUUAGGCCAGCCACUGUCAUAACCACUGAAGGCCUGAGAUCGUCAGGGGUGUGAGCGAAAAAGAGUGCAACCGUUGUGGGAAAAUGUUGGGUGGUUCUAAUCAAUUUAAAAUUACUAGUCUAAGUUGGGCACGAUGGUGCACGCUUUCAGUGCUAACACUUGAGAGAAAGAGGCAGGCAGAUCUCUGAAUUUGAGACUAACCUGGUCUACAGAGUGAGUUCUAGGACAGCCAGGGCUAUACAGAGAAACCCUGACUUGAAAAGAGAGAGAGAGAGAGAGACAGACAGACAGACGGACAGACAGAGAGACAGAGAACCUGGUCUAUGACCUUGGCUUCCAAUGCCACCCAUUCACUCUUACUCAAGAGACAUGAAAGCGCCUGCUUGUGAAAAACCCUGCCCAUGACAAACCAUGCCUUGAUCAUAAUAUCCCCGAACUGCAUCCAGUUCGAAUGUCCAUACAAGGACAUAGUUUUAAAUGCUGGCAUACUCAUCCAAUAGAGGAACACUCAACCCUAAAAUGAAACUAACUACCAGCAGAUGAGCUACCGUGAUGUAUCCAUCAGAUAUUAUGCUGAACACAAUAAGCCAGAUUCAGCAGAGCUCAUACUGCUCCAUCCCAUUUGCAGGAAUGUACUGGUUAGUUUGCUCAAGUUGACACUGGCUAGAGUCACCCAGAAAGAGGGAACCUCAGUUGAGAAUUGCCUCCAUUAUACUGGCUUGCAGAUGUGGUAGUGGGACAUUUUCUUAAUGAGUCAUGUGAAUGCACUGUGGGAAGUGCACUGUGGGCAGUGCACUGUGGGUAGUGCACUGUGGGUAGUGCAUUGUGCAUAGCACUAUAAGCAGUACACUCCUGGGCAUGAGGUCCUGGGUUGUAUAAGAACACGGGCCAAGCAAGCCAGUAAGCAGCAUUCCUACAUGGCUUCUGUUUCAGUUCCUGCCUUGCGUUCCUGCCCUGACUUCCCUCAGUAAUGGACUGUGACCUGAAAGUAUAAGCUGAGAUAAACCCUGUUCCUCCUCUAGUUGCUUUUGGUCACAGUUUUGUCACAGCAACUCAAGGUAACUAGAACCUUGAGGGAUGGAGCUAUGUGUGUGUGUGUGUGUGUGUGUGUGUGUGUGUGUGUGAAUCAGAAAAGUAGAAACCUGCAAGUAAGACAGGGUAGGAAGAACCACAGUAGAACUUUCCAUGUUGGACAUACUCUAACUCUUAUUUUGGAUGCAUGUAUUUGUCGAAACACAUUGAAUGGCAUAGUGAGGAUUUGUGCUGUAUAUACAGAAUUUACCUUAUACAAUACCAAUCUUAAUUCUAGUAAGCAUGUUUUUCCCAGUGAUGAUGUGUUUGAAAUUCUCAACCUCUUCUUUUUUCUUUUCUCAAUCCGAAUAAGCACAAUUGAGUAAACAUAUUCAGAUGACAGGAUCCAGGUUCCUCACUGUACACUUCAUACGGAGAGACUGAGUCCUGCAGCGUCACUUCGGAAUUUGGAUUAAAGAUGAUAGCAGCAUCUACCUCCUGGGAAAGUGUAAAGUCAAAAAUCACUCUGGUGGCAGGGGGACAUCAAGCAACAAGAUCUUGGUUCCAAAAGCUACUUCCCACUGAAAGGAAGCACUGACAAACAAGAUGGUUAGGGGUGACGUAAGCAAGCCUAAGUAAGACCUGGAAGAUGCUGGGAGGGACUCAGGCAAAACCUAGAACAAUGUCAGUAAGUUACUAAAUAAUAGUGUUGAUAGGUUACAAUCCAGUCAACAAAACAGGAACGUAUAAAUCCCCCCUGCUCUUUCACACACACACACACACACACACACACACACACACUCACUCUCUCUCUCUCUCUCUCUCUCUCUUAAACUAGUGGAUAAGAGAAAUCUUUGCCGUUACUACUAGCAACCCCAAUUGGUGAGUGAUAUAGUUAGAAAAUCAUCAAUGGAUGCCAAAACUCAUGGGUAAACUUUAGAUGGGAAGGGCAUAUUUACAUAAUCUUAAAAUAUCUUCCCACAAAUACAUAUUUAAGCACCAAGGUGGGGGAGAAUAACUCUGCUGUGGAGAAUCUGGGCAGACACAAUCUCAACCAAAUAGUCACAUUGGAUACCAUCAAUAUUAAGUGACACUCCAUCAUGCGUCUCAUAAUGGGACACUUAAUAUUAUUUUAGUGCCUCAGCUAAAUUUAAUCAGGAGGACAUAUUGGACAAAUGCAAUUAAAGGGAUACAUUGUGAAAAAAAAUUGAUCCUCAAGUUUAUUUAUUUAGUUUAAUUACUAUUUGUUUUUAAAGAGACAGGGUUUCACUAUGUAACCUUGGCUGGCCUAGAACUUCCUAUGCUGACCAGGCUGCCCUUGAACUUAAAGAGAUCCUCCUGCCUCUACUUGGAUUGCUAAGAUUAAAGGUGAUGUACUACCACAAGCUGGCCUGGUCCUCACGUUUAAAAAUAUGAUAAGAACAAGAAAGACAAAGACCUAGGGUGAAUUUAUGUCAUAACUGCAAGCUGUGCGUGAUUCUAGACCUGAGCCUGGAUUAGGUUUCAAACAACUAUAAAGGACGCCAUUAAGACAAAAAUGGAUGGAAUUUGAAUAUAAAUUAUUAACUAGCUAGUAAUAGUGAACUAAGUUUAAAUUCUCUGAUUCUGCUAAAGUCCUGGAGGUUAUAUAAUGGAAUGCCCUGGUUUUUAGGACAGUAGGAUUAAAUCAGUUAGCAGUAGAAAAGUAUUAUGUUCCUAACUUAUUUUCAAGCUUCUCAGAUAAUAGUUUCUCAUGUAUAACUAUCUAUCUGGCUACAUCUGUAUCUAGCACAUCUGUCUUCUACAUAUGUAUCUAUAUUGUGUCUGUCUAUAGAGGCAGCACAGGCAGCAGAAUGUAAUCGACAAGAAUGGGGUUAUAAAGAAGUCUUUAAAUGAUGCUCACAAACUUUCUGUAAGUUUGGAAUUAUGUCAAAAUACAAAGUUGCCCAACAAUGAUAGAAAAGAUGCCAGGAUAAUAUUCCCCCUGGGUCACCCAAGCUCCUGCUUAUCUCGUGAGCAAGGGCACUGGUAGCUUUUGGCCUAGACUAUUUUUUGAAGAAUGGCUGUAUAAUGAAGAAUACUGGAAGAUAGAGAUUAAAUUUCCUUCUGGAGCAAAAGGCAGGGUUUUUUUUGUUUUGUUUUGUUUUGUUUUGUUUUUGUUUUGUUUUGUUUUUGUUGAAUGAGUAAAAUGAUGUAAUGUCUCCCUCCGUGUAAAGGGUGGGCAUGUUUGGUUGCCUCUCAUUAUAAAAACGUAGAUUGCCCUGAGCUCAAGACUCCUCGGUUUUGAUGCACACCUAUUGUAUACACAGUAUCUACCUGGACCCCUAUGCAAUCCUCUUGUGAGACUUUGGGAGCAGAGGGACUGAUGUAAUGUCACACUUUGUGCAACCUGUGUGCCAAGAAUAAGAAUGUUCUUUGUUUCUAACCCAGGAGCUUUGUGUCUGCUGCCAGUAUCCCUGAUAAGAAUGGAUACAUUAGCUUGCAAGUAGGCGAAAGACUUGAAACUUCUUGUAGAAGCAGGACAGGUGAGACAAACAAUUGGUCUGGGGAAAUGGUUCAGCUGGUAAAGUGCUUGCCCCAUAAGUCGGAGGAUCUGAGUUCGAUCCCUAGAUGUCAUGUAAAGCCGAGUGCUUAUAAUAACAAUACUAUGCUGGGUGUGGCAGCACACAUCUUCAAUCCUAGCACUCCAUGGCAAAGGCAGGAGGAUCUCUGUGAGUUCAAGACCAACCUGGUCUACAUAGAGAGUCCCAGGCCAGCCAAGGCCACACAAUAAGACCCUGUCUCUAAAAAACAAACAACAAACUAGCAAACUUUGGGAUUUAUUAUACAUAAUUCCAGCUAGAGCUGGAGACAGGCAGAUCCCUCCUGGGGCUCACUGGCCAGCAAGCCUAGUGUAAUGGAUUGGUUCCGGGCCAGCAAGAGACCCUGUCUCAGAAACCAAGAUGGACAGUGUCUGAAGACUAACGUCUGAUUUGAUCAUUGGCCUACACACACACACACACACACACACACACACACACACACACACACACACACUCAACCAAUUUGACAAGCUGUGGCUACAUAUUUGUUGAGUUAACUUUUCCUGGUAGGAUCUGAACAAAUAUGAAUUCACCCAUAUUUACACCAGCGACAGACCAAGAAACUGAUUCCACCUGGGUCGCUUUUGUAAACCGGUGAGUCUGUUGGGCUUAAUUUAUAUCAGCAUAAGAGGCAGGUUACCUAGCAGGAGUGUGUGUGACCCCAAGCAAUUCCUAGGCUAAAAGUCUCACCCCAGCACAGGUGAUGGUCUAACAGGUUCACAGAUGGCUUCCCCCUCUUCAGUCCAGAGGGGAAAGGAGUUUAGUAAACAAUGGAAGGAGAACUGCUAACAAAGAGGAGGGAAAAACAAGGGUGGAAACAGACGCUUAACCAUCAACAAGAAGCAAAGGUCAGAACCGCUGGCGUCAAUGACAGUGACGCUUUCUGGGGGAUUUCCUGUUUAGUUCUUAGCAUGUGUGUUUCCAUAGGACAGAGACCCAAACAAAGUCACUCAACUGGGUGGAAAGCUAAUUGUGUCUAGAUUUGGGAUUCUUUGUGUGAUUUGGGAUUCUUUGUCUCUGGUAGCAGGUAACUGUGGUGGGAUCCGUGGUAGAGAACAAGUGGACUGUGCCUUUGAGUUGGUUCUACAAUAAACGAGCUUCUACUUUUAUUACUUUGUUAAUUUGUGCAUUUUUUGAAACAGUCUCACUUUGUAGUCCCAGAUGGCUUGGAACUCACAGAUUUCAGGCUGCCUUUGCCUCCUGAGUGUUGGGAUUAAAGGUGAGCACUUUUUAUUGCUAUAUUGUUUCAUUCUGUAGUCAAGGCUGGUCUAAACCUUAUUAUGAUCCUCUUGCUUCAUCCUCCAGAGCACUAGAAUUACAAGCCGGUGCCACCAUCCUUGGCCUGA